GGUCAAGUGAAGAAGCGCAUACGGUGGAUGCCUUGGCAGUCAGAGGCGAUGAAAGACGUGGUAGCCUGCGAAAAGCUUCGGGGAGUCGGCAAACAGACUGUGAUCCGGAGGUAUCUGAAUGGGGGAACCCAGCCAUCAUAAGAUGGUUAUCUUGUACUGAAUACAUAGGUGCAAGAGGCGAACCAGGGGAACUGAAACAUCUAAGUACCCUGAGGAAAAGAAAUCAACCGAGAUUCCCUUAGUAGUGGCGAGCGAACGGGGACCAGCCCUUAAGUUGUAUUGAGAUUAGCGGAACACUCUGGAAAGGGUGGCCAUAGUGGGUGAUAGCCCUGUACGCGAAAAUCCCUUUGCAAUGAAAUCGAGUAGGACGGGGCACGAGAAACCUUGUCUGAAUAUGGGGGGACCAUCCUCCAAGGCUAAAUACUACUGACUGACCGAUAGUGAACCAGUACCGUGAGGGAAAGGCGAAAAGAACCGCGGAGAGCGGAGUGAAAUAGAUCCUGAAACCGUAUGCGUACAAGCAGUGGGAGCCCACUUUGUUGGGUGACUGCGUACCUUUUGUAUAAUGGGUCAGCGACUUAUUUUCAGUGGCGAGCUUAACCGAAUAGGGGAGGCGUAGCGAAAGCGAGUCUUAAUAGGGCGUCUAGUCGCUGGGAAUAGACCCGAAACCGGGCGAUCUAUCCAUGGGCAGGUUGAAGGUUGGGUAACACUAACUGGAGGACCGAACCGACUACCGUUGAAAAGUUAGCGGAUGACCUGUGGAUCGGAGUGAAAGGCUAAUCAAGCUCGGAGAUAGCUGGUUCUCCUCGAAAGCUAUUUAGGUAGCGCCUCAUGUAUCACUGUAGGGGGUAGAGCACUGUUUCGGCUAGGGGGUCAUCCCGACUUACCAAACCGAUGCAAACUCCGAAUACCUACAAGUGCCGAGCAUGGGAGACACACGGCGGGUGCUAACGUCCGUCGUGAAAAGGGAAACAACCCAGACCGUCAGCUAAGGUCCCAAAGUCAUGGUUAAGUGGGAAACGAUGUGGGAAGGCUUAGACAGCUAGGAGGUUGGCUUAGAAGCAGCCACCCUUUAAAGAAAGCGUAAUAGCUCACUAGUCGAGUCGGCCUGCGCGGAAGAUGUAACGGGGCUCAAACCAUGCACCGAAGCUACGGGUAUCAUCUUUUGAUGAUGCGGUAGAGGAGCGUUCUGUAAGCCUGUGAAGGUGAGUUGAGAAGCUUGCUGGAGGUAUCAGAAGUGCGAAUGCUGACAUGAGUAACGACAAUGGGUGUGAAAAACACCCACGCCGAAAGACCAAGGUUUCCUGCGCAACGUUAAUCGACGCAGGGUUAGUCGGUCCCUAAGGCGAGGCUGAAAAGCGUAGUCGAUGGAAAACAGGUUAAUAUUCCUGUACUUCUGGUUAUUGCGAUGGAGGGACGGAGAAGGCUAGGCCAGCCUGGCGUUGGUUGUCCAGGUUUAAGGUGGUAGGCUGAGAUCUUAGGUAAAUCCGGGAUCUUAAGGCCGAGAGCUGAUGACGAGUGUUCUUUUAGAACACGAAGUGGUUGAUGCCAUGCUUCCAAGAAAAGCUUCUAAGCUUCAGGUAACCAGGAACCGUACCCCAAACCGACACAGGUGGUUGGGUAGAGAAUACCAAGGCGCUUGAGAGAACUCGGGUGAAGGAACUAGGCAAAAUGGCACCGUAACUUCGGGAGAAGGUGCGCCGGUGAGGGUUAAGCAUUUACUGCGUAAGCCCAUGCCGGUCGAAGAUACCAGGCCGCUGCGACUGUUUAUUAAAAACACAGCACUCUGCAAACACGAAAGUGGACGUAUAGGGUGUGACGCCUGCCCGGUGCCGGAAGGUUAAUUGAUGGGGUUAGCGCAAGCGAAGCUCUUGAUCGAAGCCCCGGUAAACGGCGGCCGUAACUAUAACGGUCCUAAGGUAGCGAAAUUCCUUGUCGGGUAAGUUCCGACCUGCACGAAUGGCGUAACGAUGGCGGCGCUGUCUCCACCCGAGACUCAGUGAAAUUGAAAUCGCUGUGAAGAUGCAGUGUAUCCGCGGCUAGACGGAAAGACCCCGUGAACCUUUACUAUAGCUUUGCACUGGACUUUGAAUUUGCUUGUGUAGGAUAGGUGGGAGGCUUUGAAGCGUGGACGCCAGUCUGCGUGGAGCCAACCUUGAAAUACCACCCUGGCAACUUUGAGGUUCUAACUCAGGUCCGUUAUCCGGAUCGAGGACAGUGUAUGGUGGGUAGUUUGACUGGGGCGGUCUCCUCCUAAAGAGUAACGGAGGAGUACGAAGGUGCGCUCAGACCGGUCGGAAAUCGGUCGUAGAGUAUAAAGGCAAAAGCGCGCUUGACUGCGAGACAGACACGUCGAGCAGGUACGAAAGUAGGUCUUAGUGAUCCGGUGGUUCUGUAUGGAAGGGCCAUCGCUCAACGGAUAAAAGGUACUCCGGGGAUAACAGGCUGAUACCGCCCAAGAGUUCAUAUCGACGGCGGUGUUUGGCACCUCGAUGUCGGCUCAUCACAUCCUGGGGCUGAAGCCGGUCCCAAGGGUAUGGCUGUUCGCCAUUUAAAGUGGUACGCGAGCUGGGUUUAGAACGUCGUGAGACAGUUCGGUCCCUAUCUGCCGUGGACGUUUGAGAUUUGAGAGGGGCUGCUCCUAGUACGAGAGGACCGGAGUGGACGAACCUCUGGUGUUCCGGUUGUCACGCCAGUGGCAUUGCCGGGUAGCUAUGUUCGGAAAAGAUAACCGCUGAAAGCAUCUAAGCGGGAAACUUGCCUCAAGAUGAGAUCUCACUGGAACCUUGAGUUCCCUAAAGGGCCGUCGAAGACUACGACGUUGAUAGGUUGGGUGUGUAAGCGCUGUGAGGCGUUGAGCUAACCAAUACUAAUUGCCCGUGAGGCUUGACCAUAUAACACCCA
rnacentral:rRNA from 1 species